UAGGAUCAGGUCUAAGGGACAAUACUCUUGCUUUACUGUUGGAUUUUAUAAUGUAGCAAAGGGAGACAAAUCCGUCGGUCUUGUCUGAUACUUUUCAAGGGAGAUUACUCUAUUGGUUUUAACUGAUUUUAUCUUAUGUUUACAUUGGUCAGUAUUCUAAGAAUUCAAAUGAGUGGUUCACGGAUCGUUGGUUUUAAGCUAUUUUUAUGUCAUGUGAUUUAUUGGUGGGAAAAGUCAUUGUGUCUUUGUUUUGUUGUAAAGGAGAGGUUAGAAAAAUAAGUGUUUGUGGUCAAGUUCUUUAUUUCCUAAGUUGGUAUGUAUUUAUCCUGACUGCUGCUAAAUGCUUAUUGUAAAUAUGUAGAAUUGCAUUAUUGUGAUUCUGUUGUAUUUUGGAUCAGUCCAUUGAUUGUGAAAUUUGUAAAUAAGUAUGAGUUUCAGAAUGACAUGUAUCUAUCAAAUCACCUUUCAUCUUUUAUUCACUAUUAAUAUUUAACCUUGCAGUUAACAGUCACUGGUGUGAUAGUCAGAGAGGUAAUAGUUAGAUUGAUGUACUGCACUCAUCCCUCAGAUGAGUGUUGUUGGUUUGUACCUUAUGUGAUGUACCAACCUUGAUGUGAUCAGUAUAUAAAGAGGAUAGAACUUUA